GUGGUGUUCAGGUAUUGGCCGUAGUGCUGAGCAGUGUACCGCAGUCUGGCACGCCACACAGUCAGAGAGAAUGGUUCCUGCCGACAGGGCCUGUCAAGACAUUGGGUUCCCUGUGCGAUGGUUCCAGACAUU